GCUAAGUUAUCAAAUGUAUAUCGAAAGGACACAGAAGCUCCAGCUGGUGGUGUUGAUCACAUGACAAAACUAUCAUAUUUGCAUGAGCCAGGAGUCCUGCAGAACUUAAGAAUUAGAUACGAACUCAAUGAAAUUUACACUUACACCGGAAACAUUCUAAUUGCAAUAAACCCGUUCCAAAAGGUACCUCAUUUGUACGAUGGUCAUAUGAAGGAAGAAUAUAAGGGUGCAUUGUUUGGAGAACUAAGUCCGCAUGUAUUUGCAGUAGCUAAUGCGUUUUACAGGUCUCUGUCAUUUAUUGAGUGGCCUAACAAUUAUUUUGCAUUUUUUCAAAAUAUAAUUAUGUCUUUAAUGAAACUAGGGCUAUGAUUUAGGAGGGUAAAAGUAAUUCCAUUCUGGUCAGUGGUGAAAGUGGAACAGGUAAAAUGGAGACAACCAAAAUGCUUAUGCAGUAUUUAGCAUAUUUGGGUGGUCGGAAAGCUACUGAAGGACGCACAGUUGAACCACAAGCUCUAGAAAUAUGAUACAUGACGUAUAGUUCUAUAUUAAAACUACUUAAUUAUUCUGUAAUUUGGAGCUUGCCAUAAAUAUACUCACAUAAAUAUAUACCUGACAGAGAACUAACCCAACUGAAUGCAUGCACCAUUCACUAAGGUUAAUCAGUUUUUACAUGCUCACUUACUCCUUCGUAUUCAAUAAUCUUCCAUUUUUUUUUUCUAUUUUAUUUGCUUAUUUUAUAGGAUCCACCCGUUAUGACGGAAGAUAUGCAUGAAGAAAGACUCUAUGCAUUUGAAGUCUUGGGGUAUUAAGUAUAUUGAGUAUUGGUGGUUUUCUAAACUAUUCACUUUUAUUAGAAUUUUUUUUACCUGUUAAUGGUUACUAGGUUUUCUCAAAAUUAGGUCCAACUGUAAGAUUUUCAUUUUCUUUUACAGCUCAGGAAAUUGAUGCUUUAGAUGUUAAGAAGAAACUCAUGAUUUGUUUUUGCUUCAUGUCUCAAUGUUACAACAAAACGGAGUCCGAUUUCUUGCUUCUUCACCAACUAAAGGAUGAACCCUCAACACAAUUUGAAUAUGUCAUGUUCUUCAUAAUAGGAGGACGACUGUAACCUCUUCUUCAUAUCGAUGAUUAGUUUUGUUCUGAACAAUCACGUCCAGAGCUUCCAUUAGUUUUGUUAUGAAAAUCGAGUUCAGUUUGCAUUUUGUUUGAUAAUUUGCUAAUCUUAUUUUGGAAUUUGUUAACAGAGAUCAGGUGGGUUAUUUUAUUUUGCUGCGGCAGAGAAGAAAGAUUUGAACGAUUUGGCGUCUGAUGUUUGGUCUUUGACUGGUAUUUAUGACAGGUGCUAUUCUUAUGAAGGAUCUUCUUCAUUUUCUAGAUACACAUGCUGCACAUCUACAACUUCAUGCAUUAUAUCAUCCAGGUUGGAUUAUUUUUCUCUAAUUUAUUACACCGAAAUUACUUUUUCGGUCAACCAUAUGUAUUGUUAUACUCUUUUGCUGAAAGAAGGAACCGAACCCAUUAAUGUUGAUUAGUAUUUAAAACAAACAACAUGGUUAUUUUUUAAAAAUUUAUUGUUACAUAGGUGUAGAGUGAUUGUCACUGAUUAUUUGAUAUGUUGAUUCGCACACUUUUCCCUUUAACUACCAAAGUGAAAGGGUCGCUAUUGGCAUGAAUUUUGAUCAAAUUUGCUGGUUUCACUUUUAGUCUUUUGGAAAACAUGUAUUAACAUGCAACAUUUCGUAACAUGGUACUAACGAGUUUUGAUUUUUUGAGAUGGUUGGAUAUCCAAAAAAUCAACUCUGUAAGUUAUGUUUAUUAUUCUUAUAUUUAUAGGUAAGCCGUUUUCUGAUUGACUUAGAUAAUAGUAGGAACACGGUGCAAGAUAAAAGGAGCCACACACUUGAUUGCUAUAUUGAAAAGCAUAAAACUGGUACAGCCUUUUGUCAGUGACUACGAAUCACUUACCGAUAUAGGGAACUUAAGAGUUUAUUUUUUCGUAUCCAAAAUCACAUAGUAUGUUUACUUAUUGAAAUGAAAAACAAGAUUAACAAUUGUGAUGAUUUCAAGUAUGAUUAUGAUAAUAAUCUAUAUAAACAUUUGGUGAUACUUGGUCUAGAAUGGAAUUGCCAUAUUAGGAUAAGUUAUCUAACCUCAAACAUAGGGUUAAAUUGGUCUCUAGAUAGUAGAUAUGUUUGGCCUUUUUUGUUAGUUGAAACCAUAUGAUGAUUUAUUGGCCCUUAAUUAACUUAACUAUUAGUUUUAAAGGGGUAGAGUACAGGAAGUUACUGGUGCUACAAAUGAAUUGCAACGACGUUCAAGGAAUAUUUUACCACCUGCAGCAGAUGAUUACUCUAAUAACAACACAUCUUCAUGGGGAAAACCGUUAGUAAAACUACUACAAAUGUAAGAUACUUCAUGUUGACUUUUUUCACACUUUGCUUAUAUGUUACUUGAAUUUCUUU